GACGAACGCUGGCGGCGUGCUUAACACAUGCGAGUCGAACGGUAAGGCCCUUCGGGGUACACGAGUGGCGAACGGGUGAGUAACACGUGGGUGAUCUGCCCUGCACUUCGGGAUAAGCCUGGGAAACUGGGUCUAAUACCGGAUAGGACCACUGCCUGCAUGGGUGGUGGUGGAAAGCUUUUGCGGUGUGGGAUGGGCCCGCGGCCUAUCAGCUUGUUGGUGGGGUGAUGGCCUACCAAGGCGACGACGGGUAGCCGGCCUGAGAGGGUGACCGGCCACACUGGGACUGGGAUACGGCCCAGACUCCUACGGGAGGCAGCAGUGGGGAAUAUUGCACAAUGGGCGCAAGCCGGAUGCAGCGACGCCGCGUGAGGGAUGACGGCCUUCGGGUUGUAAACCUCUUUCAGCACCGACGAAGCGCAAGUGACGGUAGGUGCAGAAGAAGGACCGGCCAACUACGUGCCAGCCGCCGCCGUAA
rnacentral:rRNA from 1 species